rnacentral:rRNA from 1 species
AACGAACGCUGGCGGCAGGCCUAACACAUGCAAGUCGAACGGAUGUAGCAAUACAUUAGUGGCGCACGGGUGAGUAACGCGUGGGAACGUGCCCUUUAGUAGAGGAUAACAGCGGGAAACUGCUGCUAAUACUCUAUACGCCAUUCGGGGGAAAGAAUUUCGCUAAAGGAUCGGCCCGCGUGAGAUUAGGUAGUGGGUGGGGUAAUGGCCUACCAAGCUUACGAGCUCUAGCUGAUCUGAGAGGAUGAUCAGCCACACUGGAACUGAGACACGGUCCAGAGUCCUACAGGGGGCAGCAGUGGUGAAUAUUGGACAAUGAGGGAAACCCUUAUCCAGCCAUGCCGCGUGAAUGAUGAAGGCCUUAGUGUUGUAAAGCUCUUUUAUCAGGGAAGAUGAUGACGGUACCUGAAGAAUAAGCACCGGCUAACUGCGUGCCAGCAGCCGCAGUAA